rnacentral:rRNA from 1 species
CCUACGGGUGGCAGCAGUGGGGAAUAUUGGACAAUGGGGGGAACCCUGAUCCAGCCAUGCCGCGUGUGUGAAGAAGGCCCUCGGGUUGUAAAGCACUUUCAGUGAGGAAGAACGCCUGGUGGUUAAUACCCAUCAGGAAAGACAUCACUCACAGAAGAAGCACCGGCUAACUCCGUGCCAGCAGCCGCGGUAAUACGGAGGUUGCGAGCGUUAAUCGGAAUUACUGGGCGUAAAGCGCGCGUAGGUGGCUUGAUAAGCCGGUUGUGAAAGCCCCGGGCUCAACCUGGGAACGGCAUCCGGAACUGUCAAGCUAGAGUGCAGGAGAGGAAGGUAGAAUUCCCGGUGUAGCGGUGAAAUGCGUAGAGAUCGGGAGGAAUACCAGUGGCGAAGGCGGCCUUCUGGACUGACACUGACACUGAGGUGCGAAAGCGUGGGUAGCAAACAGGAUUAGAUACCCUGGUAGUC